rnacentral:miRNA from 1 species
CCGGGACUAGUCUGCCCAGG